rnacentral:rRNA from 1 species
UACGAAGGGGGCUAGCGUUGCUCGGAAUCACUGGGCGUAAAGCGCACGUAGGCGGCUUUUUAAGUCAGGGGUGAAAUCCUGGAGCUCAACUCCAGAACUGCCUUUGAUACUGAGAAGCUCGAGUCCGGGAGAGGUGAGUGGAACUGCGAGUGUAGAGGUGAAAAUUCGUAGAUAUUCGCAAGAACACCAGUGGCGAAGGCGGACUCACUGGCCCGGUACUGACGCUGGAGGUGCGAA